rnacentral:rRNA from 1 species
GGAAGUAAAAGUCGUAACAAGGUUUCCGUAGGUGAACCUGCGGAAGGAUCAUUAACGUUGUCGUGGAGUUCGUCUCCCGUGUGAACUGUACUUGAAUCAUCUUCUUGCGAUACGUUUGGGGGGGUCGACCUAGCGGUCGUCAAAUGCUGUGUGCGUUAGCAGUCAGCCCCCCCACGUUCGCAUGUCUUUGUUUUCUAUCCAGUUUGUCAAUAGUGAGAAUGAUCGAAAGAUACGAAAAAAAUGUGACAAAACAACUCAGAACGGUGGAUCUCUUGGCUCACGCAUCGAUGAAGAACGCAGCCAACUGCGAUAAGUAGUGUGAAUUGCAGAAGACAGUGAAUCAUCGAAUCUUUGAACGCAAAUGGCGCUCUCGGGCCCUGGUCCCGGGAGCAUGUCUGUCUGAGGGUCGAAUACACUAUGUGUCUUUCUUCUUUUGCGAGGAAAGACGGUGUUGAGGUGUCACGGCCAAUCCUCCUUCUCGUAAAGAAGAGAAGAGGCCGUGUCCCUUGAAAUGUAGAAUGCCGGUGGACGACCGCGACUCGUUCAUAUCGCCCACCGACAGAGAGAGAGGAACAAAGACUUACGUACGACCUCAGAUCAGGCAAGACUACCCGCUGAAUUUAAGCAUAUCAAUAAGCG